CAGCAGCCACGGGAAUACGUAGGUGGCAAGCGUUGUCCGGAAUUAUUGGGCAUAAAGGGCUCGCAGGCGGUUUCUUAAGUCUGAUGUGAAAGCCCGGGGCUCAACCUCGGAAUUGCCUUCAAUACUGGCUGUCUUGAGUACGGGAGAGGUGUGUGGAACUCCGAGUGUAGAGGUGAAAUUCGUAGAUAUUCGGAGGAACAUCAGUGGCGAAGGCGGCCAUCUGGGACAACACUGACGCUGAGGCACGAAAGCGUGGGGAGCAAACAGGAUUAGAUACCCCAGUAGUCCCUGUCUCUUAUAC
rnacentral:rRNA from 1 species